GGUCAAUCAUCAAACCUUUGGCUUAAUUCUAGAGAUGUGCUGUCUCAAAAGUCAUGCUCAAAUUAAUUAUGCUUAGGAAC
rnacentral:snoRNA from 1 species